rnacentral:rRNA from 1 species
CCCUUAGAUGAUUUGGGCCGCACGCGCGCUACACUGAUGCGUUCAACAAGUUUCCUUGGCCGAGAGGCCUGGGCAAUCUUCUUAAUAUGUAUCGUGAUAGGGAUAGAUUAUUGCAAUUAUUAAUCUUGAACGAGGAAUUCCUAGUAAACGCAGAUCAUCAAUCUGCAUUGAUUACGUCCCUGCCCUUUGUACACACCGCCCGUCGCACCUACCGAUUGGAUGUUCCGGUGAAGCCUCGGGAUGAGGACUGGUGCCUUUAUUGGCAUGAGUUGUUCAGAACUUGUCUAAACCUUAUCAUCUAGAGGAAGGUGAAGUCGUAACA